rnacentral:SRP_RNA from 1 species
GCCGGGCACGGUGGCGCGUGCCUAUGGUCCCAGCUACUCGGGAGGCUGAGGUGGGAGGAUCGCUUGAGCCCAGGAGUUCUGGGUGUAGUGAGCUAGGCCAAUGGGGUGUCCGCGCUAAGUUCGGCAUCAAUAUGGUGACCUCCCGGGAGCGGGGACCACCAGGUUGCCUAAGGAGGGGUGAACCGGCCCAGGUCAGAAAUGGCGCAAACUCCCGCGCUGAUCAGUAGUGGGAUCGCGCCUGUGAAUAGCCACCGCACUCCAGCCUGGGCAACAUAGCAAGACCUCGUCUCU